AUUUAAGAAAGCCGGAUAAGCAAGAAUGGGACAGUAACAUUGGAGCAGAGCGGUGGAGGGAUGCUAUGAAGGGUCAAAGGUGGCAGUCAGAGCUUUUGGUUCUACAGCGGAAUCCGUGGAACAGUGGUAGUAUCUACCUAACAGGAGAUCAGGAUAGCGAGGGUGAAAAUGUAUCAGGAAUGAAACGAGUGCGGCCCUGAGAGAAUGCUAAGAGUGUUUGCGACAUAGGACGAAAGUUACCGCGAGCAAGAGGAUCGAUUGUGAGGGAUAUUUGUAACAGAGUCGAGUGCAAUCAAGGAUCGAAAGUUUAGAAAUACAUCUUGAAUAUUUGAAGUACCUGGCUCAUGGAGGACAAGGUUGCGUGAGAAAUGCGUGAUCCAGGAGGAGAUCUUGAGUAUGAAAGAAGACGGAGUAUAGAGAAUUAAAUAAGGGUGCAAGGAUGCGAGCGAGUCAGUUGUUGUCAGUGUGUCAGAUUGAGUGUCAUAACAGAAUAUCAGAGAGUUGUAAGAGAGUUUGAG